ensembl:lncRNA novel transcript, antisense to CLDN18
GAAUUUUAGCACUUUUUCUAUCAGUUUAUCUGAGCUAUGUAUUUAUUAAGGAUUUUAAUACAUUGCUGUAAUUACUAAAAACAUCUUUUCCCAUUGAUUAUUUGCUUUUAAAUUCCAUACAUGAUUUAGAAAAAAACAUAUAAUGUAUUUUAUUUUAUGUGCUUCCUGGUGCCUGGUACAUAAAGUAUGCUCAAUAAAUAUUUGUUGAAUGAUGUAGUCAAAUAAAUUUACUUUUUCUUUGUGUUUUCUUCCACUAUUUCUAUGCUUAGAGAAUAAUUUCCAUUUAGGAGAUAGUUAUUCUAGAAUUAUUUUAUAAUUUUAAAAUAUUUAAAAUUAUCUUAUAUUUUUAAAUAUUUAAUUAAUCUAGGAUUUAUUUUGGUAUAUUUGUUAGUUAUACUGUAAUUACUUUUUCCUUCAAAAAAAGCUAGUCAAUGACUUCUGCAACAUUAACUAAAUAAACUUCCUUUUUCUUCA